CCGUGGCUUUCUGGUUAGGUACCGUCAAGGUGCGAGCAGUUACUCUCGCACUUGUUCUUCCCUAACAACAGAGCUUUACGAUCCGAAAACCUUCAUCACUCACGCGGCGUUGCUCCGUCAGACUUUCGUCCAUUGCGGAAGAUUCCCUACUGCUGCCUCCCGUAGGAGUCUGGGCCGUGUCUCAGUCCCAGUGUGGCCGAUCACCCUCUCAGGUCGGCUACGCAUCGUCGCCUUGGUGAGCCAUUACCCCACCAACUAGCUAAUGCGCCGCGGGUCCAUCUGUAAGUGACAGCCGAAACCGUCUUUCAUCCUUGAACCAUGCGGUUCAAGGAACUAUCCGGUAUUAGCUCCGGUUUCCCGGAGUUAUCCCAGUCUUACAGGCAGGUUACCCACGUGUUACUCACCCGUCCGCCGCUAACAUCCGGGAGCAAGCUCCCUUCUGUCCGCUCGACUUGCAUGUAUUAGGCACGCCGCCAGCGU
rnacentral:rRNA from 1 species